rnacentral:pre_miRNA from 1 species
GAUUUCAACUAAAGAGGUCAUCAACAAUAAAGAUGUAUAACUCAUCAAGAUUUAUAACUUUUAUUUUGGUCAUUUCUUCAUCUAGCAAAGUGUUAGUAACAUUGUUCACAAAAUUGGCAUAUAUGUGAAUUUUAUGAACAAUGUUACUGUCACUUUACCGGAUGAAGAAAUGAACAAAAUAAAAGUUAUAGAUAAUGAUGAGUUGUAUAACUUUAUUGUUGAUGACUUUCAAGUUGAAAUC